GCUGAAUAAAGCCGUGUCUCAUCUACCUGCUGUCUCCCAAGUGUUCUUCCAGCUCCCUGCCCCUCAUCAACCCACUCUCCUCAGACCUCAGCUGGGGCUUGAACCUGAUAAUUGGUGUAGUCAUCAGGAUGAGAUUUAGAAGUGGUGGUGCCCCUCUUGUGACAGCAUUUGGCAGUGUGCAGUUGGGCCAUCAAUAAAUCCAAGGUCCAAGGGCCGGAAUUGUCUGCCAAAUUCUUGGGAGUUAUUUGCUCAGCCACAGGUUGGCAUGCUCCAACAACAUUGUGGACUGGGCUCACACCUAUGCUGAGGUGGCCAAUGUCUCCAACUGUUAGAUCUGCACCACCCUUCCAGCAGCAGCUGUGGAUGGCUUGCCUUGGCAUGUGCAUCCAGCUUUUGUGAAGAACUGGACAUGGCUAGAAACUUGGGGUCCCACAGACAAUGGGCGGGAUGCAACAUGGUGAGCUUUGGAUGGGGGUGUCACAAAACCCAUGGCAAGCCUGCCCCCUGGCUGACUCAUAGCAUCCAUGAUGAAUGGGGCUGGCUAAUGGGAGAAAACAUGGUGGCCCCAUUGCAAGUACCACGAUGUAUAGAGCAACACUGGGGUAAGGUCACUGUGGGAUGGUUGCCUGCUGAGACCUGUGCAAACGUAACACAUGCCACCAUGCCAAGGAUGUGGUGGAACAAGCAGCCCUACCAAGGCUGGGCCCCCAUGGACUUUGUGCCUGCUGGGAGUUUAUAGGUCUGUGGGGACAUAGGAUGGCCAUAUCUGCCAGCCAACUAGACUGGACAUUGUACCUGGGAGUGGCCUUCUGUGCCUGCCACUGUGCUUCCCACAUUGCUUAGUCACACACAUAACUGGGAGGUGCUGUGUUCCCAGUUUUUGUGAGUGCAUUGAGCCCCUAGUGGUUCUACCCCUUAGCAAUAACUGUCCCUGGAACAGGUGUCAUCACUGUAGAAAUGCAGGUUACAGCCCUUGCAGAACACAGAGAUUGGGCCCAUGAAUUACACCUGAGCUGCCCUCCUUUUGUUAAUUGAUGAGUUUGAUCAGAUCAGGAAGGUGGUGAUGCAAAACCGGAUGGCCUUAGACAUAGUCACAGCUGCUCAAGGUGGCACCUGUGCCCUUGUAGGGACAGAGUGUUGUACAUUCAUCCCUGACAACCACCAGAACAUAGUGGCAGCUUUGCAGGGGGUGUCAUGUCAUAGGAGAUUAAGGCAAUUGAAUACCUUACUGAUGACCGCCUGCAGAGAUGGUGGGUGUCUCUGGGCUCUGGCCUACACUGGGCUCUUAUAAUCAUAGGUAGCAUAGCAGGAAUAUUAGUAGUAGGUUGUUGCUCUCUUUAUUGUUGCUGUGGCCUCUGGGUCCAGGGUGCUCCCCUAUGUGCACGAGUUCCCAUUAAGAGGACCCCCUUGGCCUAGGGGGCGGAGUGUAAGGAACAUGGCUGUGUUGCUGCCAGGCAGGCAUAGGCCGAGGUAAAAAUCCUGCAUGACACAGUGGGAUUAGAGCACACGCGCGCAAUCCUGUGCCUGAUAUAAUCACAGCUAGGUAGACAUAACACAGAGAAGCUCAUCAUUUGGCUCUCAGCCACUAUCAUUUGUGAGGUGUACAAAUGUAACACUGACACUGUGAAAGAGCUGCUGAAUAAAGCCAUGUCUCAUCUACCUGCUCUCUCUCGAGUGUUCUUCCAGCUCCCUGCCCCCCGCCCCAUCUACCCACACCCCUCUGACCUCAGCUGGGGCUUGAAACUGACAUUUGCUUUAUUGUACUUUGCAGAUACUUAAAAAAAAAACCAAAUUAAAGUUUUGUGGCAACCCUGUGUUGAGCAAGCCUAUUGGUGCCAUUUUGUCCUCACUUCAUGUAUGUCACAUUUUGGUAAUUCUUGCAAUAUUUCAAUUUUUGUCAUUAUUAUGACAUCUGUUAUAGUGGUCUGUGAUCAAUGAUUUUUGAUGGUACUAUUGUAAUACUUUGUGGUGCCACAAACUGUACCCAUAUAAGAUGGAAAACUUAAUUGAUAAAUGCUGUGUGUGUUCUGAUUGUCCCAAUGACCAGCUGUUCCCUCAUCUCUCCCCUCUCUUUGGGCAUCUCUACUCCCUGAGACAGAACAAUAUUGAAAUUAGGCCAAGUAAUAACCGAACAAUGGUCUUUAAGUGUUUAACUGAAAGGAAGAAUCACAUGUUUCUCACUUUAAAUCAAAAGCUAGAAAUGACUAAGCUUAGUGAAGAACACAUGUCAAAAGCCAAGAUAGGCCGAAAGCUAGGCCUCUUGCACCAAACAGCCAAGCUGUGAAUGCAAAGAAAAAGAUCUCAAAGGAAAUUUAAAGUGCCACUCCAAUGAACAGAUGAAUGAAAAGAAAGUGAAACUCCCUUAUUGAAAUGGAGAAAGUAUUAGUGGUCUGGAUAGAAGAUCAAACCACCUACAACAUUCCCUUAAACCAAAGCCUGAUCCAGAGAAAGGUCCCAACUCUCUUCAAUUCUAUGAUGGCAGAGAGAGGUGAGGAAGCAGCAGAAGUUGGAAGCUAGCAGAUGUUGGUUCAUGAGGUUUAAGAAGCCUUCCCUGGAACAUAAAAGUGCAAGGUGAAGCAGCAAGUGCUGAUGUAGAAGCUGCAGCAAGUUUUCCAGAAGAUCUAGCUAAGAUAAUCAAUGAAGGUGGCUACAACUAAAGAACAGAUUUUCAAGGUAGACAAAACAGUCUCCUAUUGGAAGGAGAUGCCAUCUAGGACUUUCAUAGCUAGAGAGGAUAAAUCAAUACCUGACUUCAAAGCUUCAAAUGACAAGCUCACCUCCUUGUUAGGGGCUAAUGCAGCUGGUGACUUUAAGUUGGAGCCAAUGCUUAUUUGCCAUUCUGGAAAUUCUAGGGCCCUUAGAACUACGCUGAAUCUACUCUGGCUGUUCUCUAUAAAUGCCUGGAUGACAGCACAUCUGUUUACAGCAUAAUUUACUGAAUAUUUUAAGCCCACUGUUGAUGUAAAAGGAAAGCUCAGAAAAACAGAAAAAGAAUCCUUUCAACAUAUUACUGCUGAUUGACAAUGCACCUAGUCACCCAAAAGCUCUGGAGGUAUACAAGGAGAUUAAAGUUGUUUUUAUCUCCUGCUAAUCUCCUGUUUUUAUCUCCUGCUAAUACAACAUCUAUCCUGCAGUCCAUGGAUUAAGGAGAAAUUGACUUUUAAGUCUUAUCAUUUAAGAAAUAUAUUUUGUAAGGCUACAGAAGCCAUAGAUAAUGAUUCUUCUGAUGGAUCUGGGCAAAGUAAAUUGAAAAUCUGGCGAGGCUACAGCAUCCUAGAUGCCAGUAAGACCAUUUGUGAUUCAUGGGAGACGGCCAAAAUAUCAACAUUUACAGGAGUUUGGAAGAAGUUGACUCCAACCCUCAAGGAUGUCUUUGAGGGGUUCAAAACUUCAGUGGAGGAAGUAACUGCAGAGGUGAUAGAAAUAAGAGAACUAGAAAUGCAGCUUGAAGAUGUAACUGAAUUGCUGCAACCACCUGAUAAAACUUGAAUGGAUGAAGAGUUGCUUCUUAGAAACGAGCAAAGAAAGUGGAUUCUUGAGAUAGAAUGUACUCUUGGUGAACACAGUUGAAAUGACAACAAAGAAUUUAGAAUAUUCCAUAGAUUUAUUUGAUAAAGUAGCAGCAGUGUGUGUGAGGACCGACUCCAAUUUUGAAAAUUCUACUGUGGGUAAAAUGUUAUCAUGUUGCAUCACAGGCUACAGAGAAAUCUUUCAUGAAAGGAAGGGUCAAUGGAUGCAGCAACAUUAUUGUUGCCACAUGACAACAAUGACACCUUCAUGGUUGUCUCAUUUUAAGAAAUCGCCACAGCCAUCCCAGCUUUCAGCAACCACCACCCUAAUCAGUUAGCAGCCAUAAACAUUGAGGCAAGCAAGACCCUAACAGCAAAAAGGUUGACUCAAGGAAGGCUCAGAUGAUCAUAAGCAUUCUGUUUUGUUUUUUGUUUUUUUGAGUCGGAGACUUGCUCUGUCGCCCAGGCUGGAGUGCAGUGGCACGAUCUCUUCUCACUGCAAGCUCCGCCUCCCAGGUUCACGCCAUUCUCCUGCCUCAGCCUCCCGAGUAGCUGGGACUACAGGCGCCCGCUACCAUGCCCGGCUAAUUUUUUCUAUUUUUAGUAGAGACGGGGUUUCACCGUGUUAGCCAGGAUGGUCUCCGUCUCCUGACCUCGUGAUCCGCCCGCCUCGGCCUCCCAAAGUGCUGGGAUUACAGGCGUGAGCCACCAUGCCCGGCCAAUCAUCAGCAUUUUAAAGCUAAAGUAUGUACAUAGUUUUUUUAGACAUAUUUACAGACACAUUUUUAUAUGCACUGGGAAACCAAAAAAAUUGGGUCACUGGCUUUUAUUGUAAUAUUUGCCUUUUUGCAGUGGUCUGGAACCAAACUUGCAGUAUCUCUGAGGUAUGCCUGUAUAUUACAAAGCUACAGUAAUUAAAACAGAAUGAUAUUGGCAUAAAGACAGACACACUAACCAAUAGAACAUGAUAGAAAGCCCCAAAAUAAACCCACACAUCUAUAGUCAAUUAAUUUUCCACAAAGAGGCCAAUAACUCACCACAAUGAGGAUAGGACAGUAUUUUCAAUAAAUGAUGUUUAGAAAUCAGGACAUCACAUGUAGAAGAUUGAAAUUGGACUCUUAUCUCACUCCUUAUACGAUAAUCAACUAAAAAUAGCUUAAAGAUUAAAUGUAAGACUUCUGUAAAAUUACUAGUAGAAAACAUGUGUAAAAACUGUAUAACAUUGGUCUGUGCAAUGAUUUCUUGCAUAUGACCCCAAAAGCACAGGCAACAAAAGCAAAAAUAGAAAAAUGGGAUUGCAUCAAACUAUAAAGCUUCUAAAAAAACAGUGAAAAGACAACCCAUGAACUGGGAGAAAAUAUUUGCAAAUCAUACAUCAGAUAAAGG
rnacentral:lncRNA from 1 species